rnacentral:rRNA from 1 species
UACAGAGGUCCCAAGCGUUGUUCGGAUUCACUGGGCGUAAAGGGUGCGUAGGUGGCAGGUAAGUUUGAUGUGAAAUCUCCGAGCUCAACUCGGAAACUGCAUUGAAUACUAUCCUGCUUGAGGAUUGGAGGGGAGACUGGAAUUCUCGGUGUAGCAGUGAAAUGCGUAGAUAUCGAGAGGAACACCAGUGGCGAAGGCGAGUCUCUAGACAACUCCUGACACUGAGGCACGAAAGCUAGGGGAGCAAACAGG